rnacentral:rRNA from 1 species
GACGUAGGGCGCGAGCGUUGUCCGGAUUUAUUGGGCGUAAAGAGCUCGUAGGCGGUCUGUCGCGUCGGAUGUGAAAAUCCAGGGCUCAACCCUGGACCUGCAUUCGAUACGGGCAGACUAGAGUGCGGUAGGGGAGACUGGAAUUCCUGGUGUAGCGGUGAAAUGCGCAGAUAUCAGGAGGAACACCGGUGGCGAAGGCGGGUCUCUGGGCCGUAACUGACGCUGAGGAGCGAAAGCGUGGGGAGCGAACAGG